CCGCAGCCCGACUUGAGUGGAGCUCUUUUUUUGCAAUGGGAAAAGCCUGGCAAAAAAAAGCGGGAACGGAAGGCGGAUAAAGC
rnacentral:misc_RNA from 1 species